AGCAGCCGCGGUAAUUCCAGCUCCAAUAGCGUAUAUUAAAGUUGUUGCAGUUAAAAAGCUCGUAGUUGAAUUUCGGAAUCUGUCCAUCGGUCGGGCUUUAUUGUCCGUACUGGUGUGGUGGGUUCUUACCUUCUGAAUAACCAGCAUGCCAUUUAUUUGGUGCGUUGGGGAAGCAGGACUAUUACCUUGAAAAAAUUAGAGUGCUCAAAGCAGGCUAGUGCCUGAAUACAUUAGCAUGGAAUAAUAAAAUAGGACGGCAUGGUUCUAUUUUGUUGGUUUCUAGGAUCACCGUAAUGAUUAAUAGGGAUAGUUGGGGGCAUUAGUAUUCAAUUGUCAGAGGUGAAAUUCUUGGAUUUAUUGAAGACUAACUUCUGCGAAAGCAUUUGCCAAGGAUGUUUUCAUUAAUCAAGAACGAAAGUUAGGGGAUCGAAGACGAUCAGAUACCGUCGUAGUCUUAACCAUAAACUAUGCCGACUAGGGAUCGGACGAUGUUAAUUUUCUAAUGACUCGUUCGGCG
rnacentral:rRNA from 1 species